AUAAUGAUAUAUUUCAUGAUAUAAUUGGAUUAUAUCAAUCCCUAAUAAUAGACAAUGGAUGCUAGGUGUUGGAAAUGUGCCCUAAAACCAAUCAUAUGAUGAUACUUUACGGACAUUUCACAUGUUAAACUAAUCUAGUUUAAUAUAAAGGGCAAAGAUUAUUGUUUGAGCCGUCUCAUAUAAAUGUUAUAUGCUUAAACGAUAAAGUCCAAGGAGUAUGUGAUUGGGAGAAUGCGAUCUAAUGAAGUUAGAUUCAUGAGACCAUUCUUUUGUAGACACAUCCUAAAUGUUCCUGAUCAUAGGAUUGCCAAUUGGGCAUUGACAGUCCGUCAAGAUCGGUACGUGCUAUGUCUUCUCUCAGGGAGAGUGACUAGUCUCGAGUCAUUGGUGUGUGUGACAUCAAGACAAGUACGUAGGUGCUCAAUAGGGAAUGAGUUCACUGAACGCGAUCAACGAAGAGUUCUCAUACUCAUGUCACAUGAGAACUCAUGGUUGGGAUAAUGCAAAGUAGUCCUUUGACUUGAGCCAUCAUAGUUGUCUUGUGGUUAAGUCCUUGAUCUUUGAUUAUGUCAAAGUCACUCCAUUAGGAGGGUGUCCACGGCAUCGUUGGGGUUAAGCCACUUAGCCAUGGAGGCAAGUGAAUGCGCA
rnacentral:lncRNA from 1 species